AUCAGGGAGUGCUGAAAGUCUCCUGCCAGCACUGUGAUGGAUUUGUGGGACCUAUGCAGAUCCUUUGAGUACACUGACAGUCUCAAAUACCACCCAGUGUCUCCCUUAAAGUUUUUGAGUUCUGCCCUAAACAGCUAAGCAAAUGCUUGACCUUGAUUCUUGAUAAUUUCUUCAUUCGUUUUAAGCUCCACAUGGACAAAACACAGCUGCGUCUGCUACAGAAACAAAUCCAGUUCCCUGCUCAUCACAGAGAGGAAAUGUCAUCUAUCCAUCUGAAAAUCUGGUUCAUGCCCCAAGUUCGAGCUGUCUUCAAUAGUGUUCACAUGCAAGGGAAAAGAGACUUAUAUUUUACCUGUGAGGACACAGGGAAUGGGAGAUUGGAAUGA
rnacentral:lncRNA from 1 species